ensembl:lncRNA
GGCUACUAGAAAAUGUUAAUUAACUCUUAGACAUGUUCACAUUAUUCCUAUCAGGCAGUGCCCCUGGCUAGCAUUACUAGGUGCUCCGUACACAGCUGGGAGCUGCAGACCUUUUCCUGGUAAACAGCUCCUCCAAAGUGAAAGUGAGUAAAUACCAGGUUCUGGGGCUGGGCUGCCUCACAGGUCACUGUCCCCAGGUGUAAACAGCUGAUAACAGCUUAAACUGCAGGCAUUCCCUGAGGAGAUGCACACUGUAAUUGCAACUUUCUAGCCAGCAGACAAACACAGGCUUUUUAAUCCAGCCUUGUGACCUUCCAGAAGAAAAUUUCUCUUAGAAAUCAAAAGUGGGGGAGAAGGGACAACAAAACGGCCUUGGGCAUCCCCUGGCUCACAGCCUGACCCGGCAUUGAGGAAAACACACUUUUUAGUGCCAAACAGUGUCACAGAUUCAGGCCUCUUCUUUCUGGAUCUGAACCAUUUGCAUUCAGCCAGAGACACCAUAGGUUGUGCGUAAGUGUGCCCUGGGUAUGAUCCAGUGAGUGCUUCUCACUGUCUUCCUCCCAAGCCUACCAAAGAAUGGCAGAUGCUAGGAUGAGAACCUGCAGUGGGCAGAGGCUGGCUGCUUGUUUGGAUGUGAAACAGAACCCUUCCAGACCUCUGGGGAAGAAGCAGAGGUGGGGAAGGGAGCUGGGAGCCCAGGAGGGCUGAUGUUAUGGCUGUGUCUAGAUGUUCCCCCAGAGCCUCCUGCGGUCACAGGUGGGGCUCUUUCAGAGGUGGCUGGAUCUUGAGUGUCUGACACUGGAAUUGAUUCAAGGUGCAAUGCUAGGUUCAGUGGCAGUGGGAUUACAGGUGUGAGUGCUACCCGCCCUAAGUGGUCUGGAUAAGAUAAAAGGGGCAGAAAGACUGUUAAGGUCUCUUGUGGCUUUUUGGUGUCUUCUGGCUGCAAAUGAACUGUUUCUUCUGUGUGAUGCCACCCUGCCUUGGAGCCAGCUGACUAUGGACAGAAACCUCUACAAACUAUGAGCUAAAUAAAC